GGGGCCCAACGGCAGGGGCUUGGGCAGGAGCAAGGUCCGAGGGCUGCCAGGUCCACGCUGCUUUUAUGAGCUGUAACACUCACCGCGAAGAUCUGCAGCUUCACUCCUGAGCCCAGCGAGACCACGAGCCCACCGGGAGGAACAAACAACUCCAGACGCGCUGCCUUAAGAGCUGUAACACUUGCCGUGAAGGUCUGCAGCUUCACUCCUGAGCCAGCGAGACCACGAACCCACCAGAAGGAAGAAACUCCGAACACAUCUCAACAUCAGAACGGACAGACUCCAGACGCACCACCUUAAGAGCUGUAACACUCACCGCGAGGUUCCGCGGCUUCAUUCUUGAAGUUCGUGAGCCACACAUCUCCCCACACCAAGCUCCUCCAUACAAGACCUCGGACUGCAUCACGUAAAUGCUUUUUCAGGGGCAAAAUCUAGAGAAUCUGAAACGAGCUAUCAGCUUCCCAGUUUGCACAAUUCAUCAAGAAAUUAUGCGGGGUCACUGGCACAAAUGAUGAGGCAUCUCCUGGAAGCUUAACUUCUUAUCCAUCCCAUCUCUUGGACAGAUGAUGCCAGUUAAUUACUUUGAAUGUGCUCACCUUCUAGCACAUUCUUCAAGAGUUACUCUGAGGCAAGCCAGCCGCCAUGUCAUGAGGACACUCAAGCAGCACCAUGGAGAGGUCCGAUGGCGAGGAACAGAGGAUCCCCCUGCCGACAGCCAAUGAGGAACAGGCCUCCUGCCAACAGCCGUGUAAGGGGUCACCUUGGAAGCCAAUGGCCCCUCCCUGGUCAGGCUUUUACAUGACUGCAGUCCUGGCCAACAUCCUGACGGCAACCUCAUGAGAGACCUUGAGCCAGAGCCACCCACCUAAGCUGCUUAUAGGUUCCUGGCCCUCAGAAAUCACAUGAGAUCAUAAAUGUUUGCUCAAUUUGAGAUAUUUGUGAUGUAGCAAUAAAUAACAAACACACUUACCUUUCAGGGUUAUUAUGAGAAUUAAGAGUUAAUACACAUCAAACUACAACCAAACUUGCUGGGACCAGAGGCUCAAGAAAGGGCAGACAGGGCCGGGUGCAGUGGCUCAUGCCUGUAAUCCCAAUACUUUGGGAGGCCGAGGCAGGUGGAUCAUCUGAGGUCAGGAGUUCGAGACCAGCUGGCCAACAUGGUGAAACCCUGUGUCUACUAAAAAUACAAAAA
ensembl:lncRNA novel transcript